AUGGCACGGCAAAAUGCUGCCUCGGCGCUCGCCGCGGCGUUGGUCGUCGGAGUCUUCGCACCCAUCCUUACCGUGGUGCAAUCCAUCGGCGUGUGCAACGGGAUGCUCGGCGACAACCUGCCGUCGCGGGCCGACGUGGUGCAGUUCUACCAGUCCCAGGGCAUCGGCGCCAUGCGCAUCUACGCGCCGGACCUCGAGACGCUCCGGUCCCUCGACGGCACCGGCAUCGACCUCAUCAUGGACGUGGGCAACGGAGACCUCGCCGCCCUCGCCUCCGACCCUGCAGCCGCGGCCGGCUGGGUCCGGGACAACGUGCUCGCCUACCCGGGCGUCCGCUUCAAGUACGUCGCUGCCGGCAACGAGGUGGACGGCGGCGACACGCAGAACAUCCUCCCGGCCAUGAAGAACCUCAACGACGCGCUCGCCGCGGCCGGCCGCGGCGACGUCAAGGUGUCCACCGCGGUCAAGAUGAGCGUGCUCGCGUCCUCCUCGCCACCCUCCGACGGCACGUUCAAGGACGCGUACAUGACGGACGUGGCCCAGCUGCUCAAGACCACCGGCGCGCCGCUCCUGGCCAACGUGUAUCCUUACUUUGCCAAAAAGGGUGACCCCACCAUCGACCUCAGCUACGCGCUCUUCCAGCAGAGCACCACGACGGUGAGCGACAACGGCCUCACCUACAUCAACCUCUUCGACGCCAUGGUCGACGCAAUGUACACUGCGAUGGAGAAGGUGGGCGCAGCCGGCGUACCCAUCGUGGUCUCCGAGAGUGGGUGGCCGUCGGCAGGCGGCGUCGAGGCGAGCGUCGGAAAUGCGCAGGCGUACAACCAGAAUCUGAUCAACCACGUCGGCAAUGGAACGCCAAAGAGGCCCGGGCCGCUGGAGACGUACAUCUUCGCCAUGUUCAACGAGAACCAAAAGGACGGGGAUGAGACGGAGAAGAACUUUGGGCUGUUCAACGGCCCCGAUAAGUCGCCGGUGUACCCUCUAAGUUUCAACAAUUAA
rnacentral:rRNA from 1 species